rnacentral:tRNA from 1 species
GCACCGGUAGCUCAAUGGAUAGAGUACCUGGCUUCGGACCAGGUGGUUAGGGGUUCGAAUCCCUUCCGGUGCA